UUGCAAACCCUAGUGCCUCCAUUUUUCGUUCUCACCGUUCUCCUUCAUCCUCCAUUCACUUUCUCCUUCAUCUCGAUCAUCUUUAAGGCCUCAAUAAACACCAUCUCCCGUUCCAUUAGCAUCUCCAUCUUCGCAACCUUCAAUGUCCCCAGUAAACGCCAGUUAUGUGGUAGUGAUAGCACCAAAAUAUCAAUAGUAGCACGAACCCUAAUCAACUUCCACCGUUUUGCAUUUUGCCUCUCUGUUUUUUUCCCAAAUCGCAUGAACCCUAAUCAGCUGCCAUGGUUUCUCAUUUCUUAAUUUAUUUUCUUUUUCAAAUUGCAGGAACCCUAACCUACAUCUGGUGAGUCCUAAGCACACUUUCAGUCAUGGAUAUGGAUGCAACAAGCAAUGCACCCUGAAUUGAAUUACAAUAGCAGUUUAAGGAAAAAAUGGGUAAGUAAUCUUUAAUAUUACAGUUGAAUUAUAGUUGUGCAGUUAGCAGUUUAAGAAAAAAA